rnacentral:rRNA from 1 species
UACGUAGGUGGCAAGCGUUGUCCGGAAUUACUGGGCGUAAAGGGCGUGUAGGCGGCCAGAUAAGUCAGAGGUGAAAGCCCGGGGCUCAACCCCGGAAGUGCCUUUGAAACUAUCUGGCUUGAGUGCGGGAGAGGAAAGCGGAAUUCCCAGUGUAGAGGUGAAAUUCGUAGAUAUUGGGAGGAACACCGGUGGCGAAGGCGGCUUUCUGGACCGACACUGACGCUGAGGCGCGAAAGCGUGGGGAGCAAACAGG